AAGACCUCAGGUCAGGCGGGGCUACCCGCUGAAUC
rnacentral:rRNA from 1 species